rnacentral:lncRNA from 1 species
ACCACCACCACCACCCCCGCCCCCAGCAUCCCCGCGAUUACCCGAGUGACUGCACUUGCCUCCAGCCAGCUCAACUGCAGGAGAGGAAAUCCCCAUCUAAGUUCACUAGCCCUGCCACAGUCUUCCACUGCCUGAUGGGUUCCUCCAAGAAAACACUUCCAGAGGCAUUCAUCCACUUGAGGUCUGGGGUUGGCUGCUGCUGCGAGCAGCUGCUAGGAUCGUUGCCGUCUCGUUCCUGCCUCUUUCGAGCUGCACAAUAGCCUCGGCUGGGUGCACCUCAUUAAGCCAGCCGAGAGCCCCAGGAGCAGGGCAAGCAGUGUGACAGCGCUACCUCUUUGUAAUGACUGUAUGAUGGAUGCAACCGAAGGGUGGGGUCUGGGUGGGUCAACACUGUUAACGACAGCAUGUAUCAUUCUGUCCGUCCUCCAGGAGAGGGAAGCCCCCUGCCCUCCCCUCAGGUCUCGGGGUCUCUCUCUCUCUCUUCUCUCUCCCCCCCAUCUCUUGUCUCUGUCCCCUGUCACUCGCGCGCGCACACACACUUUCCUCCCUCUUCCCCACCUCCCUAUGCCAUUUUCUGCAGUCAGCGUUCAAAAAAGUACGAAAACCAUCGGGUAGUUUCCAACUGAACCGAUUACGGACGGCGAAUUUAUCCAAACACUUAAGGAAGAAGAUCCUAAUAAUCGAAAAACGAAGGCGGAAGGGGCGAGAAGAACGGGGUGGAGUUGGGUGGAGGAGCGAGCGGGACGUUAACUGGCCAAUAGUUUGCAACUGCCGGUCAACACGCGUAGCCUACUCAGCGCUGCUCAUGAGGCGCGGGACGCCGCCUGCACGUGCGCCGCCCUCCUCCCAGUGCCCGGGACGGUGUCGGGGCGGGCUGCACGGUGAGAAGAGCAAAAUAAAACCAGCCCUAGAGGCGCCGGCUGGGGCCGAGAUUGCAGGAGUGGGCAAGAUACUAAAUACUUUUCUUGGAAUAUGUCAUCUUGAUUGAAAACUACUAGGAUAUUUUUGAAAAAGUAGCUCAUUAGCUGGCCGGACUAAUAGUGACAACUGCCACCACUUUUUGCUGCAUUUGUCCUACCUGCUUCUUCCUAUGUGAUAUAUGUGAUAUCUGGAGCUAGAGCAACCAUCUUGCAGUUAUGGACCAGUUGAAGACCAAUCUCUGAAAGAUAGUGAAGGAAGAUAGGAAGAACCCAGGUUUGCAAACUUGACUUCCUGAAUUAGUCCUGGACUGUUGACCUUUAGACAUCUUAUUGUAUAUGAAAAAAUAAACUGCUCUUUAGUUAAGCCAUAGUUAGCUGAAUGUUCCGAAUAUUAUGAUACUGACAUGUCUGCCAUGAUUGUUGUGGUUUUCUGCUUUUAAAUAAAAUCUGCCUUGAUUAUAUGACCCUGAAUGUCAGUCAUUUUGAAGAAUUUCAGGUAAAAAAAACUCUUCUGAGAGUCCGCCCAUGCACUAUGACUAGGUCAC